rnacentral:rRNA from 1 species
UACGUAGGGGGCUAGCGUUGUCCGGAUUUAUUGGGCGUAAAGAGCGUGUAGGCGGCCAAGUAGGUCCGUUGUGAAAACUCGAGGCUCAACCUCGAGACGUCGGCGGAAACCAUCUGGCUAGAGUCCGGAAGAGGAGAGUGGAAUUCCCGGUGUAGCGGUGAAAUGCGCAGAUAUCGGGAAGAACACCCGUGGCGAAGGCGGUUCUCUGGGACGGUACUGACGCUGAGACGCGAAAGCGUGGGGAGCGAACAGG